rnacentral:lncRNA from 1 species
AUUCUUCGGGAGGCACUUGUGAAACUCAGCCCAGGUGCUGCCCAGGAUCAGGAGGCUGAGACGUGAUCUGGAAGUGAGUGCCCAUCCAUACACCUUCCCCAGCUUUGGGGCCACAGAGGGACAGAAACCGCAGGCAGGCUGGCCUGGGAAUGAACCUACACCAGCCUGAAGUCAGAAGAGCCUCUAGGAGCCUCCAGCCUGGACUCUUUUUACAGAUGGGGAAACUGAGUCCCAGAGAGGGAGCAAUGAAGGAUGUCUAAGGUCAUCAGCAACGUAAAGCCAACAGCAUCAUCCUGAGUCAUGUUUGAACCUGAGGUAAGAGAAGAGGUCAGCAAAUCUGACCCUGUCUGUAUUUUAAAAUUUGGUAUUUUGUUCAGAGUGGGGUUUUGUGUUCGUUUUGAUGUUGGAAGAUAUCAGGUUAAAAUAUGAUUCAUUUUGAUAACGGAGUUUUUCAGAUACCUCUUUCAGUUCUGCUUCCAAGGCUAGUCCUGGCCCUGAGAGCCAGGGCACUGUGUUGGAUGCGUAUUCCCUUGUUGGCACAUGUACUGUCAUUCCCCAGACAGGCAGAGCACCCUUCUGGGAAGAACUGGCUGUGUGUUCGGGCUGACCCAGGUUUUAACCCCACUUCCAGCAUCCCCAUCCUAGUGACUGAACUUCUAUGAGCAAGAAUUUUCUCUUCUGAAAGUUUCCCAGUCCCUCAUUUAUCUAACCAGUUCUUUUCAGGGUUCUACCAUGUACCAGGCACAGUGUGUGUGGCAUGACUGUGACCCAUCAAUGCCCUAAGCAGCUCACAGUCAGUGAGGAAGACCCCCGGUGUCAGACCCCUGCAGCCUCACGUGGAAGGGGCGCCGGGAAUGCCACAGGAUGCUGGGGACAAGGCAGGGGGCUCCCCCAAGACUUCUCAGAGAGAUCCUUCAAAGGCGAGAGCCUCCCCAGGGGGAGUCCGCUGGGAAAUCAGCAAAGGAGGGGGCUCCAGGCAGAAGAAACAGCGUCUGCCAAGGCCUAGAGGCAAGAAAGCUAGGCUUGUUUGCAGACAUCCCAAGUAGAUUUGCGCCAAGUGUAAAGGAAGAUGUGGCAGAGAGAACUUGGGGGCUCCACUGUGUGUGGCCCUGGGCCAUGCUAGGGGGUUGGGUAAUAACAUCUCCUGUAGAUACCAGCUGCAGGGGGCAGGAGGACCCAUGGAAAGCACCGGGGGCUGAGCCUGAGGCGAGUAUAGAGGCCUGAGUCAAUAUUACCCUCCCCUGUCUCUCCUCUUGAGAUAAGCCAAUAGGUGUUUGAUGUUCAGUGUUCAGAAAGCCAGCCUGACUGCUCUCAGAUGAUUAAGCAAGAGGCUAUAGUCGGUGGGGUGGCAGGGGGUUGGGGGGGAACAGGCCUCCCCCCUUCUGUUUCCAGAAAUCUGACCUCUGCCUCGGCCACAUUCCCCGACUCCUGGGUGUGAGAUAAGGCCGCUGUCUCCUGUUCCCUUCUCUUCUGUCUGGCCUGGCUGAGCUGGCGUGUAUGGUCUUAGUUUUCUAUAUUUAUAGAGACAAGGAUGGGGGAACCAUGGUAGGGGGCAGGGGGUUGGGGGCGGCUGGCCCAGAGCUUCAGGGCCUGUGGAAGCUGCCUGGCCGCAGGGGGUAUUUAACUUUCUGCCCGAUGGUUGUAAUUCUGGGGGCAGCCGAACUGGUGGGAUCAGGUCCCUCUGGCUGCGAUGACAGGCCUUCAGCAGGCACUGUAAUUGCAGCGUUAAAACCCCUCAUUUUCUUCCCGGCAAGCUGUAGUUAAGAGGUGCUAUCGGGCAGCCGGGUUGUCUGCAGGGAGGCUGAUCAAAGGGCUGAAGGCAUCUGUUUUGUCUCUGUUUUCUUUCACCACUCCCCGCCAACUUUGAAAAAAAAAUGGUUAAAAAGUAAUUUAUGAAAAUGAAUACCUGUCCUUCUCCAGAGGCUAAAAGGCGGCUGCAUAUUAGAGAUAUUAGAUGAUGUGCAUUGGGUUUUUGCUACACUCCUUCGGUCAGUUUCAGAAUGAGAAAAUUGGAGCUGGAGAAUGUGCCCACCGUGUCCGCUUCCAUUAAAACCUCUCAGCAGGGUUUUUAUAAUAUCGGCCCGACUUUUCACACUCUGAGGAUUUCCUGAAGAAGAUUAAACUCUCCCACCUCCAGCCAGCGAUUGGCAAUUAUGCCUUGGCCAUGCCCACACCCCUGCGGGCCUCCCAACCCACACUCCUCUCCCUGUUCUCCAGAAGCCCAGGGCGGGCGUUGCCUGCUGUGAGGUUGUCCAGGACUCAGCCUCUCCCUGCUCUCAGUGCCCUGAGGCCUUGGAACUUUCUUAUCAACUGACUGCACAAGGAAAGGUUUCCAAUUUUUAAAUAGUGCCCUUCAUAUCUGGUUUGAAAACUGAAAGAGAAUAAAUGCCUUUAGAGAUGAGAAUGAAAAAUCCCUAGCAAAGGAAAAAAAUGGCUUAGGACUGCCUGGAGAUGGAGCACGUUUAAGGAAAGCCUCAAGAGAACAGGUUGAUUUAAAGCAAACAAACAAAAACAACAACAACCCCUGUGCCAUCUCUAAGCUGUGUUGCAGUGGGGAGGAGCUUCACCAGCCAGACUCCACACUGGAGGUUCGUGGCUUCAGUUUGAAACCUGAGCCCAUUUCUCUGCUCACACAGUGUGCACAUUACAGCAUCAGUAUCCUGUUCCAGGAGCCUGGAAAUCAAAGAGGUGCUGGUUGGGGCACCAUGUUCGAAGGGCUCAAAAUGUAGCCUUAGAAGUCCCCUGUCUUGCAUUUCUUUCUUAUUCCCCUGUGCCAAGAUUUUGCGAAACCUUUCAUAGAUGCCCAAUAAGGACCAGCUGCUCCCUGGGGAAUUUCCAGCCUGGCCACCCUUAAGAGUUAAUUCUCCGCCCUAUCUGCCAUUCCCCCUGUCUUCUCUUGGUUUCUGAAUCCCUUUGGGAACUCAGAAUAAAAUAAGCUCUGUGCAUGUGUACAGACAAUUUAUCAUUCUCAUAGUAUUUUCACAGCCUUCAUUGCAAUAGAGUCCCCACCAUGAUCCUUUGAGACAGGCAUUGCUAUUCCCAUUUCACAGAUGGGGAUAAUCGAGGCUCUGAGGGAGAAAGGUGCCUGUAAGAUCACACAGCUGCUAAGUGCAGCACCAGUGUCUGGAUGACUCUGGAACAGGUUUCCUCACCACAGCGAGCUUCGUGGGAAUUUGCCAAUGGAACACCCCAGGCCUUGGCACCCGGCAGACCCUCAUUGGAAACAGACUCUGACCUUGGGCAUGUCACUUCCCUGCUCAUCUCAGGGUUUCAAGGUUUGGAAAAACAGCCUAGAGCCUGUCUGACUGAAGGCACUCCAUAAACAUUACCACCCUUCUUCUGAUGAAGUUUGGCUCAAGGGGCAUCUUGGGUUUUCCAGGCCCUGGUUAGGUCUGAUGAAGGUAGAAGACAUUGCUCAGGCCAUGGGCAUGCAGAUACCAAGCUCUGAUCUCUUCAUGACUUCAUCCCUACCCACUCCCAGCAGGCUCACCUACUCAGGAGCAUAUCCUGGCUGCCUGUUUGUAUGGCCAUCUGAACACGCUUUUUGCUUCUCAGACAUUCCUGAGGAAAGAGAGACCGUACCAUCCCAUGAUUUAGGUGAUUUCAUGACAUAUGCCAGGAUGCCACUCCAUGUGGAAUGGGUGAGCUGAUUGAAGUAUUUUCUUCAAAUGGGUCUAAUUCUCUUCCAGAAUGAACUCCUUGGCAUGUCAGCUUUCCAUUCAUUAGACUCUGGGUCUCCGCCUAAGAAAACUGAGCUGGAUUGCAUGGAGCAACCUCUCAGCCUGACACACAACCUCAGCAAGGGUGGAUUUGGGCCCCCCGUCCCCCAUCCACAUUCCCUCUUGGUAUCUGUCCAGUUAGAUUUUCAAGAGUGCUUUCCAGGCACAGGCCAGUCUCAGCUGUAAUGGGAAGACACAGAACACCUACUGUGUGUCUAGCACUUCACUAAGGACUUUGCAAAGUAAUUAUUACAUAAUGAUUUACAAGGUGUAUUUAGUGCUUACCAUGUAUCCGACUUUGAGCCAAAUACUUUGCAUACACCAUUUCUUACUUAAGCUUCAUAAUCACCCUUGAGAGAUGUGCUGUUAUUUUCCACAGUGUUUUAGAUGAGGAAAUAGAGGGUAGAACAACUUUCCCAGGACCACAGUGAACAAGCAAUGGUGCCAGCACACAAACCGAGGUCUGUGUGAUUCAAAAGCCUGGUAUGCAAACCUAUUUUAUAAUAUCGUCUAAUGUGAUCUUCAUAACAUCCCAUGAGGAUGAGAUUAGUAACUCCAUUUUAUAAAUGAGAAGAUUAAGGUACCCGAAAUAGCAUGUAACUCGGGCACUUCUUCUGAGGUCAUAUGGCUGGUAAGUGGUAAAGGUGGGAUUGGAACUCAUGAAGCCUAACGAGAAAGGGGCAUAUCCAAGGACUAGGCACUAAAGCUUCACCAGAUCCUCCAACAUCCUGUUCCCUUGAGGCUAAGUGCAUUUCCUUGGCAUGACCAAGCUCCUAUUUAAUCUCUCAAGACCAAGUUCAAAUGUUCCUUCCUUGGGAAAUACUUCCCUAGUGACUUCAGGCAUCUUCCUUGAUGCAUUAAGGUACCGAAGACUAUUCCCAGUUGUCACUUUUUAUUUGUAUAUGUCUCUCUCACUAAACAGUAGCUCCUUAGCAAUGGGAUACAAAUCUUAUUUGUCUGCAUGUCUUUAAACUUAGCAUGGAGUAGACACCUAAGUAGUUACCGAAGGUAGAAAUUAGGUGAUUUCUUUCAGCUUCCUUGGGUCUUAGAAUGCAUUCCUUAAUACAUUAUAUCCAUAUAUAUUCAAGGUAUAGAUAGAUCAGUGUUUCCCAAUUGGGAGUGCACAAUAGAAUCACCUAUGGAAUUUUUAAAAAUAUGGAUUCCAAGGUUCUACCUGAAGCCUAGCAAGUCAUAUACUGUCAUGGCUAAUCCAUGUCUGUCCAAGACCCAGUCACCCACCCUCUUGGAUAAACAGCGCCCUCCACCACCAACACAGAGGCAGGAGUGUCUCAAAGCUUCACCAGUCAGAGUUCUUCCUUGAAUUUUUUGUUGGAAUCAGGGGCAAGAGUUUUCUUUGUGUUUCCAGACGUAGAGUUGGAAUAAUGUGAAUCUAUGCCUGGCAGCAGCCCUGUUCCCUGACACAUGAAGAAGCUUAUCUUCCGUGAGAGAAAGAAAAGAGGGAACAGGCUCGGCCAUCCCCAAGGCCUGCUUGAUUCCUGCCCUUUUGAGGUUUGAGACAAGGAACUCCCUUCAACUUUUUCUUAAGCUACUU